rnacentral:rRNA from 1 species
GUAUAAGAGACAGCAGCCGCCGCGGUAAUACGUAGGUGGCAAGCGUUGUCCGGAAUUAUUGGGCGUAAAGGGCUCGCAGGCGGUUUCUUAAGUCUGAUGUGAAAGCCCCCGGCUCAACCGGGGAGGGUCAUUGGAAACUGGGAAACUUGAGUGCAGAAGAGGAGAGUGGAAUUCCACGUGUAGCGGUGAAAUGCGUAGAGAUGUGGAGGAACACCAGUGGCGAAGGCGACUCUCUGGUCUGUAACUGACGCUGAGGAGCGAAAGCGUGGGGAGCGAACAGGUUUAGAUACCCCCGUAGUCCCUGUCUCUUAUAC